rnacentral:misc_RNA from 1 species
GAUGAAGAACGUAGCGAAAUGCGAUAAGUAAUGUGAAUUGCAGAAUUCAGUGAAUCAUCGAAUCUUUGAACGCACCUUGCGCUCCUUGGUAUUCCGAGGAGCAUGCCUGUUUGAGUGUCAUUAAUAUAUCAACCUUCUCUUUUUUGGGUUGUUUGGAUGUGGGGGUUUGCUGGCCUCUUAAAUGAUUCAGCUCCCCUGAAAUGCAUUAGCAGAACAACCUGUUCAUUAGCGUGAUAAUUAUCUAUGCUAUUGAAUGUGAGGGCAGUUCAGCUUUCUAACCGUCCUUGGACAAUUCAUCAUUAAUGUGACCUCAAAUCAGGUAGGACUACCCGCUGAACUUAAGCAUAUCAAUAAGCGGAGGA